CCUACGGGUGGCAGCAGUGGGGGAUAUUGCACAAUGGGGGAAACCCUGAUGCAGCGACGCCGCGUGUGGGAAGACGGUCCUCUGGAUUGUAAACCACUGUCCCCAGGGACGAAGAUGACGGUACCUGGGGAGGAAGCUCCGGCUCACUACGUGCCAGCAGCCGCGGUAAUACGUAGGGAGCGAGCGUUGUCCGGAAUUACUGGGUGUAACGGGAGCGUAGGCGGGACUGCAAGUCGGGGGUAAAAUUUACCGGCUCAACCGGUAGCCGCACUCAAAACUGCAGUUCUUGAGUGAAAGAGAGGCAGGCGGAAUUCGUAGUGUAGCGGUGAAAUGCGUAGAUAUGAGGAGGAACACCAGUGGCGAAGGCGGCCUGCUGGGCUUUUACUGACGCUGAGGCUCGAAAGUGUGGGGAGCGAACAGGAUUAGAUACCCUUGUAGUC
rnacentral:rRNA from 1 species